GAUGAACGCUGGCGGCGUGCCUAAUACAUGCAAGUCGAGCGAACGGACGAGAAGCUUGCUUCUCUGAUGUUAGCGGCGGACGGGUGAGUAACACGUGGAUAACCUACCUAUAAGACUGGGAUAACUUCGGGAAACCGGAGCUAAUACCGGAUAAUAUUUUGAACCGCAUGGUUCAAAAGUGAAAGACGGUCUUGCUGUCACUUAUAGAUGGAUCCGCGCUGCAUUAGCUAGUUGGUAAGGUAACGGCUUACCAAGGCAACGAUGCAUGGCCGACCUGAGAGGGUGAUCGGCUACACUGGAACUGAGACACGGUCCAGACUCCUACGGGAGGCAGCAGUAGGGAAUCUUCCGCAAUGGGCGAAAGCCUGACGGAGCAACGCCGCGUGAGUGAUGAAGGUCUUCGGAUCGUAAAACUCUGUUAUUAGGGAAGAACAUAUGUGUAAGUAACUGUGCACAUCUUGACGGUACCUAAUCAGAAAGCCACGGCUAACUACGUG
rnacentral:rRNA from 1 species